ACAUCCACUUUUUACCUGUAAAUCUCUCAAGCAAGGAAAACCCUUCAAUGGUGAAGUUUGAAAACGACGUGUUUCUACCGACGGAUGAGCCUCACGGAUCGAUAGAAGCAACGUUAAGCCGUCUUACGUCGAAAAUGUAAGGUAGGUAAGGCAGUUUGGUCUCCCUCCAGUGAGGAAGCAAAACAGAGCAAACUACUCCGUUUUUACAUAUUCUCCUGAUCAAUGCAACCUGCCGGCUUUUGUCUGAAUGAGGCGGCCAUUGUUAAGACGUUUUGGUGGCUCCGUGUUGUAAUGUUGUGUCGAAUUAUAUUAUAUUAUAUUAUGUCAGUUUACAGUUUGAUUAUGUUUUGAUUUAGUACUAAUUAUACAGACAUUGGAGGGAAACCCAAUCUUAGCUCAUUUAUAUU